CCUACGGGGGGCAGCAGUGAGGAAUAUUGGUCAAUGGCCGGAAGGCUGAACCAGCCAUGCCGCGUGAAGGUCAGUGCCCUAUGGGCGUUAAACUUCUUUUGUGCGGGAGCAAUAAUGGUCACGUGUGGCCAGACGAGAGUACCGUACGAAUAAGCAUCGGCUAACUCCGUGCCAGCAGCCGCGGUAAUACGGGGGAUGCAAGCGUUAUCCGGAUUUAUUGGGUUUAAAGGGUGCGUAGGCUGUGAGGUAAGUCAGCGGUGAAAUGCCCCCGCUCAACGGGGUGAAGUGCCAUUGAUACUGCCUGGCUGGAGUGCGGAUGACGUAGGAGGAAUGUGUGGUGUAGCGGUGAAAUGCAUAGAUAUCACACAGAACACCGAUUGCGAAGGCAUCUCACGAAUCCGCGAUUGACGCUGAUGCACGAAAGCGUGGGUAUCAAACAGGAUUAGAUACCCCAGUAGUC
rnacentral:rRNA from 1 species